AGAGUUUGAUCCUGGCUCAGGAUGAACGCUAGCUACAGGCUUAACACAUGCAAGUCGAGGGGUAACGACAGUAAAGCUUGCUUUAUUGGGCGACGACCGGCGAAUGGGUGCGUAACGCGUAUCCAACCUGCCCUUCACACUGGGAUAGUCUCCCGAAAGAGAGGUUAACCCCGGAUAGUGUCAUUGUGACGCAUGUUAUGGUGACUAAAUGUAUAAGGUGAAGGCUGGGGAUGCGUCCGAUUAGGCAGUUGGCGGGGUAACGGCCCACCAAACCCCACAUUGGAACUGAGACACGGUCCAAACUCCUACGGGAGGCAGCAGUGAGGAAUAUUGGUCAAUGGGCGAGAGCCUGAACCAGCCAAGUAGCGUGCGGGAGGAAGGCCCUAUGGGUUGUAAACCGCUUUUGCAGGGGGGUAAAAAGAGGUACGUGUACUUCAUUGCAAGUACCCUGCGAAUAAGGACCGGCUAAUUCCGUGCCAGCAGCCGCGGUAAUACGGAAGGUCCAGGUGUUAUCCGGAUUUAUUGGGUUUAAAGGGAGCGUAGGCGGGAGUUAAAGUCAGUUGUGAAAAGCCUGGGCCCAACUCAGGUCGUGCAGUUGAUACUAAAUUUCUUGAGUGCGCACGAGGAAGGUGGAAUUUGUGGUGUAGCGGUGAAAUGCAUAGAUAUCACGAAGAACUCCGAUUGCGAAGGCAGCCUUCCGGAGCGUUACUGACGCUGAGGCUCGAAGGUGCGGGUAUCAAACAGGAUUAGAUACCCUGGUAGUCCGCACAGUAAACGAUGGAUGCCGGCUGUAGGCGACAAAAUGUCUGUGGUUAGGCGAAAGCAUUAAGCAUCCCACCUGGGGAGUACGCCGGCAACGGUGAAACUCAAAGGAAUUGACGGGGGCCCGCACAAGCGGAGGAACAUGUGGUUUAA
rnacentral:rRNA from 1 species